rnacentral:rRNA from 1 species
CCUACGGGUGACAGCAGUGAGGAAUAUUGGUCAAUGGGCGGGAGCCUGAACCAGCCAAGUCGCGUGAGGGAAGACGGUCCUAUGGAUUGUAAACCUCUUUAGGCGGGGAGCAAUGCCGGGCACGUGUGCCCGGAGGGAGAGUACCCGCAGAAUAAGCAUCGGCUAACUCCGUGCCAGCAGCCGCGGUAAUACGGAGGAUGCGAGCGUUAUCCGGAUUUAUUGGGUUUAAAGGGUGCGUAGGCGGAUUUUUAAGUCAGCGGUAAAAUGUCCGGGCUCAACCCCCGAACUGCAUUUGAAACUGUUGGUCUUGAGUAUCGGAGAGGCAGGCGGAAUUCCUAGUGUAGCGGUGAAAUGCGUAGAUAUUAGGAGGAACACCAGUGGCGAAGGCGGCCUGCUGGACGACAACUGACGGUGAGGCGCGAAAGCGUGGGGAGCAAACAGGAUUAGAUACCCCAGUAGUC